rnacentral:rRNA from 1 species
UACGUAGGGGGCAAGCGUUAUCCGGAAUUACUGGGUGUAAAGGGAGCGUAGACGGUGAUGUAAGUCUGGAGUGAAAGGCGGGGGCCCAACCCCCGGACUGCUCUGGAAACUAUGUGACUGGAGUGCAGGAGAGGUGAGCGGAAUUCCUGGUGUAGCGGUGAAAUGCGUAGAUAUCAGGAGGAACACCGAUUGCGAAGGCAGCUUACCAAGCUACUUCUGACGUUGAGGCACGAAAGCGUGGGGAGCAAACAGG